rnacentral:rRNA from 1 species
AUUGAACGCUGGCGGCAGGCCUAACACAUGCAAGUCGAGCGGAUGAGUGGAGCUUGCUCCAUGAUUCAGCGGCGGACGGGUGAGUAAUGCCUAGGAAUCUGCCUGGUAGUGGGGGACAACGUUUCGAAAGGAACGCUAAUACCGCAUACGUCCUACGGGAGAAAGCAGGGGACCUUCGGGCCUUGCGCUAUCAGAUGAGCCUAGGUCGGAUUAGCUAGUAGGUGAGGUAAUGGCUCACCUAGGCGACGAUCCGUAACUGGUCUGAGAGGAUGAUCAGUCACACUGGAACUGAGACACGGUCCAGACUCCUACGGGAGGCAGCAGUGGGGAAUAUUGGACAAUGGGCGAAAGCCUGAUCCAGCCAUGCCGCGUGUGUGAAGAAGGUCUUCGGAUUGUAAAGCGCUUUAAGUUGGGAGGAAGGGCAGUGAGUUAAUACCUUGCUGUUUUGACGUUACCAACAGAAUAAGCACCGGCUAACUUCGUGCCAGCAGCCGCCGUAAGAC